rnacentral:lncRNA from 1 species
AAAGCCCCUCCCCUAACAGCUGGUUCCACUUCCUGGGCAGUUACGCCAUCAGGCUACGGUUGGGCCAGGUACCAGACGUUCCUCUUGGGAAGACAGGUGUGAUAUCAGGGGACAGGACACUGUCUGGACCUUGGCUGCCCUCCUGGCUCUUCGGGUGGCUGUCCUGGGAGAAGGCUGAUGUCUGCAGGCUCCAGACACUGCCCGUGCUGCAGGCCUUACAGAUGCCCAGGAACCUCAGCCCUGAGCCAUGUCUCUGUGGAAUGUUCCCCCUUCCCAAUUCUGUCUCCUGUUUUGUCAUUAAAAUAGUGGUAAAG